UUGCUGCGCGCUAAAAAGGCUGAAAAUUAAACUUCCCUCCUUGUAGAAAACGAAAAAGUUGAAACUUUAAUAGUCACACAAGCUCAACAUUGAGCUCUCCGCCUUCAUCUCCAAGCUCUCCUCCCUUGGCACAGCGCCUCCGCCUCUUCCUCUUCCUCCUCGUCGACGCCUCGAAUUCCUUUCAGAUCCAGUCACCGGAAGACUUUUCUCCCACCGCUCUGGCCUCUACCUCCUCCAUCAACCCCGACGAAUUGGACAAGGGAUAUGCCUGAUUCUAUCCCUCCGCCGACGGUUCCUGAUUCUCUUUUGAAGGCAUUCCCGGCGAUGAUGUCAUUAUAGUUUAGCAAGGCAAGAAUCCCGGCGACCCGAUCGUUGUCACGGUCAAUUGCCCCGACGAGGCCCGGCCUCGGCUACGACCUCUGCAUAAUUGUGCUCCAGUUCGGCCUUUACAUUACCAAAGGAGGGAUGUAAUAGGUGAAGGGGAAACAAAUGGAGGAAAUCCUUAUAUUAAGAGCAUGUUACAAUUUUGGCUGGUGUUCUCCUUCACUGCUCUAUUUCACCCAAAGAUGAUGGCCGGUAUGUACUCAUUCAAUCUUGUUUUCUUCCUUGGUGAGACAAUUUUGAAUAGCUUGGUAUCCUGGGGUUGGAGUGAUGCAUAUCCCAUGCUAUGGCGUCUCUGCUUUAAUUGUUAGAAUGAAGCAGUUGUGGUUCUCAAGAUCAUUCCUGGAGUCUUUUCAGGGUGAGAGGUGUCGUUGCGUGCAUUGAAUCACAAGAGUGUCGAUCUUGGAGUAAUAUUAGUCUUACAUUAUUGCUUGUUGGGUCAGCAAUAGUCUAGUUUUGCUUGGUGUUCUUUUCUAAGUAUGUUCUGAAUUGGCUUCAAGCCUUUUAGCUUUGAUGAAUAUAUGAUAUUGCUUCAAUUAAUGUUUGGGUGAUCAUGGAUAAAUAGAGAAUUAUAAUACUAU